GACGAACGCUGGCGGCGUGCUUAACACAUGCAAGUCUAGGGGGCCCGCAAGGGUCACCGGCGAACGGGUGCGUAACACGUGAGCGACCUACCCUGGAAUGGAGGAUAGCCGGCCCAACGGCCGGGUAAUACCGCAUACGCUCUUCGAGCUGCAUGGCUUGGAGAGGAAACCUUUUGGGUUCCUGGAGGGGCUCGCGGCCUAUCAGCUAGUUGGUGAGGUAAUGGCUCACCAAGGCGAUGACGGGUAGCUGGUCUGAGAGGAUGGCCAGCCACAUUGGGACUGAGAAACGGCCCAGACUCCUACGGGAGGCAGCAGUGGGGAAUAUUGCGCAAUGGUCGAAAGACUGACGCAGCGACGCCGCGUGGAGGAUGACGCCCUUCGGGGUGUAAACUCCUGUUGCUCGGGACGAACCUCCCCAUUCGUGGGGACUGACGGUACCGGGUGAGGAAGCACCGGCUAACUCUGUGCCAGCAGCCGCGGUAACAC
rnacentral:rRNA from 1 species